CAGCAAGAAGGCAGCCUUCUGAAAACCAGGAAGUGAGCUGUCACCAGACACCGAAUCCACUGGCACCUUGAUCCUGGACUUCCCAGACCCCUCAAAUGUGAGGAAGUAACCAUCUGUUUAAGUUGCACGCAGUAUGGUCACAGCACUUUUAGAAAAGCGUUCGUUCCAGCCUGCUUUUGUUCGUUUGCUUGUUGAGUUUCACUCGCACUAGGAGGAAGGACUCAUGAGACAGGGACGCCCCUCUCUCUUGCUCUCUUCAAGUCCCACUGCCAAGCAGAAGCCCGGCACACAGUGGGCAGCACAGGGAAGUGCUGUUUUACUGCAGCUGUGCCCAUUUUGGUGAGCAAAAGAGCCUGAGGACUUUUUUCAGUUUUCCAGUCACCAUGGAGGACAUUUAGUAACUGAGGACAGUAGUGAAUAUUUCUAACGUAGAUUAGGCAAUUGUGGGGGACUGGCAUUGGCCACCCCAAGAUAUGUCCCUUUGGCAUGAGGAUUAUUUGGGGCUGGCUAUUUUUAAUAAACUGGGAUGGGAAGGAGGCUCUGAGGAGUGGAACUUGCUUGCCCUUUUGUUAAGAGACAUUUACAUUUGUAAGGGAAAUCUCCAUCUGUAAAGGUGUCUCCCUCUCUGUACCAGGAAGAAAGGGUGGGGAUGACCUUAUCUCUAGAAACUCUUAAUCAACGCCAAAGGCAAGGACUUAAAUCUGCGUUUGUUUACUGUGCUUGUGUGGUAAUCUCCCAUGAUCGACACCCCUCCACCCCCAACAUCCUCCUUUGUCUUUAGCUGGAUAUGAUAUUUAAGGUGGGGGCUUCAGCCAUUUUGGCGAGUUGCUCAGCUUGCCUGAGCCUCUCCCAUGUAUACGUGUUAUAAAGCUUUGUUUGAUUUUCUCCUGCUAGUCUGUCUCAUGUGAAUCUAAUUUGUUCUCCGGCCAGAAGAACCCAGAGAAGGUAGAGGAAAUGUCUUCCUCCCCUACACAAUCAACCUAUUGAUUUGAGAAGUUGAGGUUAUCUUGAACUGGUUCUCUAUUGCAGAACAGGCGCAGCCUGGAUAGAAAAGAGAACCUGUGCAAAGGCUGGUCAUAGGUUCCACUUGUCAACGGAUGGUGGUGGUGGACA
rnacentral:lncRNA from 1 species